AAUCAUUGCAACGCCCUCUUUUUCUCCUGCCCUGUCUUGGGUUUCUUUCUUGGAUUGGUGAAUAGCUGCAGAAAGGGUUUUUGCUACACUAACCAUGAGGGCUAAGUGGAAGAAGAAGCGCAUGAGGAGAUUGAAGAGGAAACGCCGAAAGAUGAGGCAGCGAUCCAAGUAGAACUUGAGAACUGCUUGUUGCACUUUCGACCUUCAGGGUCGUUUUUUCUUCUGUUUCAUUUUACCCCCUCUCUUUCUUGGUGUUUUCUUUAGGCAGCAAGGAUGAACAGUAGAUGGUAAUCUGUUUCAAGUUUUUUGAUGCAUUUGGUUGUUUUGAUGCUUUUUACGACAUUAUCAAUCGGAAUGUGAUUUUAUUUAUGUUUAACUUCAGUUUUCCAGUAAUGCAUCCUUGAUAUGAUGCCAAUGAAUGAGUCGCGACUUCUGAUUA